ACGAGGGGUUAUGUAAAUAGCCUACUGUUCUUCCAAACAAAGUCCAAAUAUGGUAAAGAAAAGCAAAAGAAAAAUAGAUUAUAGUGACAAAAUCUGACCCCAAUCUUGCUCUAUUUAAGGCAUCUCCCACUUCCCCUUCGCUCCCUCACUCCGACCACACUUUUGGCCUACCAAUCCUCCACCUCCAAACCAGAAUCAUACAUCACGCAGCUCCACUUCCCCUUCUUUCUAACCAAUCUCAGCUCGCCCCUCGAGCACUACACAGUAGCAGCAAUGAUGUCGAAGCAUGCGGCCUCCCUGCUUUUGGCUUUUCUCCUCCUUGCCUCCCUCACUCAAGCAGCCAGGCCUCACCCAGCAGAUUCAAGAAACGACCAAGGGGAGGUUGCGGAUGAGGCUGGUUUUGAUCAGACAACAGAUGAAGAAUGUGGGGGAAUCGGCGAGGACGAGUGUCUGAUGAGGAGAACUCUUGUAGCUCGUACAGACUACAUAUACACCCAGGGGAAGAACCCCUGAGGGGUGCAGAAGUGGUUCUACUCCUAGUUAUUGGUGCUGUUUAUCUCGCGUAUAAUACCUCUGUUUGGGAGCGUCUUGUAGAUUUGUGUUUGUGCCUUCUGUUCUUCCCUUGUGACCUUCUCAAGAUUGCCUAUGUAAAGAGGGUUAAGGAUAAAUGCUACAAGAUUUUGUGCAUGAGUCCUCUCAAAUGCUAAUUCCUUUGUUUCCCUCUGAUCUCAUGACAAGCAUGCCAACUUCAUCUUUGGUAGUACAAGUUCUUCUCAAAAAAAAAAAAAAAAAUCUUUUUGUGUAAGUGAAAAAACCAUGUGUUUGCUCUUUUUUGUGUUCCUUGGAGAAAAGCCUUAGCAGCAGCCUUUCUUCUUCUUGGAAGUCCUUUUUCCAUGAAGGAAAAAAGGAGUUAUACUGAACAUAAUGUGAGACCACAUAGAUAGGGUCACCAUUUCCAACAACUAGUUGACUUUUAGAUUUCUUCUACAAUAGCAGCAGGGCCUCUAGAAUAUAUAUAUACUUAAGAUCUUUCCAUUGGAAUCUGUGGGAGCAAUAGUUUACCCCUCUCUCUCUCUCUCUCUCACACACAAACACACACACAAUUGUUAUGGACAUGGUGGUGUUUGAUGUUGACAAGGCCAUGGAAUAGUCAUUAUUCAAGGAAAAUACAAGGUCUUGAUUGAGACCAGACAGCUGCUGCUUGGUGAUCAUCCAAACCCCUCUGGUUUAGAAGGAAAGUGACUCUCAACCUUGAACAUGCCCCUUAAUCAGCACGUGAACCUUGUUACUUCAAGAUUGGUGAGCUGAGAGGUGUCUCUGCUGCUGUUUCUUUAUAUUUUCCCUGUGCAAAAGUCAGACCUUGGAUGAGCACAAACAUGAAUGGGGGCACCAACACCAGGGAAGGUGCCUGCUUAGAUGAUGCUGUCCUCC